GAUGAACGCUGGCGGCGUGCCUAAUACAUGCAAGUCGAGCGAACAGACGAGGAGCUUGCUCCUCUGACGUUAGCGGCGGACGGGUGAGUAACACGUGGAUAACCUACCUAUAAGACUGGGAUAACUUCGGGAAACCGGAGCUAAUACCGGAUAAUAUAUUGAACCGCAUGGUUCAAUAGUGAAAGACGGUUUUGCUGUCACUUAUAGAUGGAUCCGCGCCGCAUUAGCUAGUUGGUAAGGUAACGGCUUACCAAGGCAACGAUGCGUAGCCGACCUGAGAGGGUGAUCGGCCACACGGGAACUGAGACACGGUCCAGACUCCUACGGGAGGCAGCAGUAGGGAAUCUUACGCAAUGGGCGAAAGCCCGACGGAGCAACGCCGCGUGAGUGAUGAAGGUCUUCGGAUCGUAAAACUCUGUUAUUAGGGAAGAACAAAUGUGUAAGUAACUAUGCACGUCUUGACGGUACCUAAUCAGAAAGCCACGGCUAACUACGUG
rnacentral:rRNA from 1 species